rnacentral:rRNA from 1 species
AGGCUUAACACAUGCAAGUCGAGGGGCAGCGAGACGUAGCAAUACAUUGUCGGCGACCGGCGCAAGGGUGCGUAACGCGUGAGCAACAUGCCCGUCACAGGGGGAUAAUCCAUGGAAACGUGGUCUAACACCGCAUAGAUUAUAUUUAAGGCAUCUUAGGUAUAAGAAAUUCUCGCGAAGGUGACGGAUUGGCUCGCGUAACAUUAGCUAGUUGGUAGGGUAACGGCCUACCAAGGCCACGAUGUUUAGGGGUCCUGAGAGGGAGGUCCCCCACACUGGAACUGAGACACGGUCCAGACUCCUACGGGAGGCAGCAGUGAGGAAUAUUGGACAAUGGAUGGAAAUCUGAUCCAGCCAUGCCGCGUGCGGGAUGGCAGCCCUAUGGGUUGUAAACCGCUUUUGUACAAGAGCAAUAAGUAUUACGUGUAAUACGAUGAGAGUAUUGUAAGAAUAAGCACCGGCUAACUACGUGCCAGCAGCCGCGGUAAUACGUAGGGUGCGAGCGUUAAUCGGAAUUACUGGGCGUAAAGCGUGCGCAGGCGGUUUUGUAAGACCGAUGUGAAAUCCCCGGGCCUAACCUGGGAACUGCAUUGGUGACUGCAAGGCUUGAGUGCGGCAGAGGGGAAUGGAAUUCCGCGUGUAGCAGUGAAAUGCGUAGAUAUGCGGAGGAACACCGAUGGCGAAGGCAGUUCCCUGGGCCUGCACUGACGCUCAUGCACGAAAGCGUGGGGAGCAAACAGGAUUAGAUACCCUGGUAGUCCCCCCCUAACGAUGUCACUGGUGUGGGAUUAUUUCUCAGUAC